UACUUGUGAAAUAUUUGCCUU
rnacentral:piRNA from 1 species